AACGUAGGAGGCUAGCGUUAUCCGGAUUUAUUGGGCGUAAAGCGCGUGCAGGCGGUGCUCUAAGUUGGAUGUGAAAUCUCCCGGCCUAACUGGGAGGGGUCAUUCAAUACUGGAGCACUCGAGGGCAGGAGAAGGAAGUGGAAUUCCCGGUGUAGCGGUGGAAUGCGCAGAUAUCGGGAGGAACACCAGUGGCGAAAGCGGCUUCCCGGUCUGUACCUGACGCUGAGACGCGAAAGCUAGGGGAG
rnacentral:rRNA from 1 species